ACACUCCUGCGGGAGGCAGCAGUGGGGAAUAUUGGACAAUGGGCGCAAGCCUGAUCCAGCCAUGUCGCGUGAGUGAUGAAGGCCCUAGGGUUGUAAAGCUCUUUCACCGGUGAAGAUAAUGACGGUAACCGGAGAAGAAGCCCCGGCUAACUUCGUGCCAGCAGCCGCGGUAAUACGAAGGGGGCUAGCGUUGUUCGGAUUUACUGGGCGUAAAGCGCACGUAGGCGGACUAUUAAGUCAGGGGUGAAAUCCCGGGGCUCAACCCCGGAACUGCCUUUGAUACUGGUAGUCUUGAGUUCGAGAGAGGUGAGUGGAAUUCCGAGUGUAGAGGUGAAAUUCGUAGAUAUUCGGAGGAACACCAGUGGCGAAGGCGGCUCACUGGCUCGAUACUGACGCUGAGGUGCGAAAGCGUGGGGAGCAAACAGGAUUAGAAACCCCUGUAGUCCC
rnacentral:rRNA from 1 species